CGAACGGGUGAGUAACACGUGAGUAACCUGCCCCGAAGACUGGGAUAACGACCGGAAACGGUCGCUAAUACCGGAUACCCCCAUUGGAUCGCAUGGUCCGAUGAGGAAAUGAAUUUCGCUUCGGGAGGGGCUCGCGGGCUAUCAGCUUGUUGGUGGGGUAAUGGCCCACCAAGGCUGCAACGGCUAGCUGGUCUGAGAGGACGACCAGCCACACUAGGACUGAGACACGGCCCAG
rnacentral:rRNA from 1 species